UGAUGGUUUUAAAUUUGUCCAUCAACAACGUUCUUCGUGUUCUUCGUUCGUUCUUCAUGUUAAUCGAUAUUAUGGAUUAUGAUUUCACUUUUUAUUGGAAUUUGAUGUUAUAAAACAUCAUUCCUUACUUAUUUCACCUACUUAUUCAUAUAAUCCACUCGGAUCAUUCUAAUUCAUUACGAAUAUUAUACUUUCUUAAGAAAUUUAUUUACUAAACUUUAAAUUCUUAUUUCUUCAUUCUCUUAUGAUUUCAACUAUAUGAACUCAUCUCUCACCUUAUC
rnacentral:lncRNA from 1 species